rnacentral:rRNA from 1 species
GGUUAAGCGACUAAGCGUACACGGUGGAUGCCCUGGCAGUCAGAGGCGAUGAAGGGCGUGCUAAUCUGCGAUAAGCGCCGGUAAGGUGAUAUGAACCGUUAUAACCGGCGAUACCCGAAUGGGGAAACCCAGUGUGAUUCGUCACACUAUCAUUAACUGAAUCCAUAGGUUAAUGAGGCGAACCGGGGGAACUGAAACAUCUAAGUACCCCGAGGAAAAGAAAUCAACCGAGAUUC